CCCAGCGUCUCUGGUCCUCCAAAUCUUCCUGCAGAGUGGUGCAAUGGGGGUGGACAGUCAGUCCAGAGCCCCGCGGGGUCUGCUGCCCAAACCAGUGGUGGGUCGCCCCCCUUCCCACAUGAAUACUGAGCACUCAUAGUGUGUUUUUUUUUUCCCCACAGCCUCGACCGUUGCCCACUUUCGAAGGGACAAGCCUCCCGUGAAGCAGAUGACCCGCAGCAGAGAUGCAUAGGCUUCAGCAUGCCAAGGCAACCAGGACUGCGUCACGGCCAUUGUGUUUUCGUGCAGAGGGCUCUUGGGGCAGAACAUGGGGCUUUUGGGUUCAUGGGGUAUGCUCUCCCAUUAUUUCUAGCCACUAAGAUAUAUGACUUGCUUAUGUAUGGACCACCUAGAAUAUCAAUAAAAUAUCACAGCUAUUUUAGAGA